GGAUGAUUAGCUCAGCUGGUUAGAGCGUUGCAUUCACAUUGCAAAGGUCACUAGUUCAAAUCUAGUAUCAUCCA
rnacentral:tRNA from 1 species